rnacentral:rRNA from 1 species
GACGAACGCUGGCGGCGUGCUUAACACAUGCAAGUCGAGCGGUAAGGCCCUUUCGGGGGUACACGAGCGGCGAACGGGUGAGUAACACGUGGGUGACCUGCCCUUAGCUCUGGGAUAAGCCUGGGAAACUGGGUCUAAUACCGGAUAUGACUCCAUGACGCAUGUUGUGGGGUGGAAAGCCUUGUGCGGCUAGGGAUGGCCCGCGGCCUAUCAGCUUGUUGGUGGGGUGAUGGCCUACCAAGGCGACGACGGGUAGCCGGCCUGAGAGGGCGACCGGCCACACUGGGACUGAGACACGGCCCAGACUCCUACCGGGAGGCAGCAGUGGGGAAGUCUUGCGCAAUGGGCGAAAGCCUGACGCAGCGACGCCGCGUGAGGGAUGACGGCC